GUGUGGAAACGCAUGGAAGAGCAGGAAGAAACACGGACGAGCGGUGAUGAACUGCAACUGUGUGCGUGCAACAGCACCAAACGGCAUGUGACGACGUACAGUGUGUGGAUGUGUGUGUGUGAAAUUUUAGGCAGCGAAGAUGGAUCGAGGUUAUGUUUACAAAGUGAAAGAGAUUGAUGCAGAAGCGUCUUUGUGAUAAAAUGUAUUUUAGUUUCAUAUUUUCAGUGUUAAAGUUUGUAAUGUGAACUUAAAAGUAAUGAACAAUGGUGCUAUUCUCUUGUGUGCUGUUGGCGAAUAUUGAAGCGUUGAAAUAUUGAAGCUUCAUAUGUUAGUUUGUUGUGCUUAAUGUGAAGCAAAAAUAUGUGCUUAAGUGUUAUAAAUUAGAAAUAUUUAAACGUAUCCGUCUAAUGUUCAGUUGUACCCAUCUAAUUUUCAAUAUUUUUGGGUGUCCUUAUCGUUUACCAGGAGAAACAGAUUGGAGGUUAGAUACGUGCAGCUAUUUCGCCUCCACAGUGUUCUUCAGUUGUGUUUCAAGCUGUCCGAAGGCACACAAAUCCGAUUCACCUCGUAUGCACGCAGCGGAUUUCAUGCGAAGGAUAUUGGAAAGCCAUCAAAGUGGGCAUGAUGGUAAGGAAACUUUGAUUCUUUUUACUUUUAGAUUUCUUAUCCUUAUUUUUGUUUACAACAACCUUGGAUCGUCGGCGCCGGCCUUAUGGAAACUGCGCGGUCAGAGCAACAACCGGAAGCAUUUCGUUCCAGGUGGAAAUUAUCUCAAGUUUGGGAAUUGAAGAGAGUUACGGCACACUGUGAACAUCGUUGUAAACAAUUGAUGCUACACCGUGCAAGAAAAUUCCUAUCAAACAACACGUCUAAAGCCUCAUGCAUCCUGUUGUUGGCAUCCUGGCUGCUGAUAUCUGCAUCUAUCCUUUGAGUAUAACUGCAAAAUGCAAAAUCAUCUUCAGCUAUUUUUGCUUCAAAAGCAUCAAACUGUUGUUCAUUUCCGAUUUUUUCCAUGGCUAAACUCUGCGCAUUUCUUCUUAUACCCUUCAUAGGAUUCAGUAUUGUGGACUGCUCAUUUAAAAUCACCAAUAUCUGAGCGCUGCGUGCAUCAAUUUUCAUUAACAUCAUCCGACAAAGAGGGCAGCAGCUUCCAGAAUGCUCUGUUGAAGUAAUUGAAAGGACUGUUUGCUUUGCUCCUGCUGCAGUCUGGUGUUCAUCGUCGGUGAUCAUCAUUAUUGGCGACGAAGGCAGCACAGGCAAAUUUUUCACAACACUACCAGUUGCUCGUUCAGUCUUUAUGUUCGAUGUACCGGUGCUUGUCGAUGGCUCUUGGUUUCCACCAUCAACUAUCUUGCCUGGCGGUCGGAUCUGGCUAGGAACACCGGUAAAAGAUUGCUCAGAUAUAGCAGUACUCGUUGAUGGUUUUUGAACAUUAACGCUGAUCAUUUUGGCUGGUGUACGGCUCACAACACAAACAGAUCCUCCAGCAGCCGCUAUCACCGAUGCAGAAGCACUGGUGGGUAAUUGUUGUCUUACAACAGUGGUCUUCAUACCACGCUGGUUCUUCGGAGCAUGAACUUCGGCAAACGAUCCAAUCGAUGGUACUGCAGAUCCCGUCAAUGCCUGUUGUCUACCGAUCUUCAUGGCUGAUUGCUGCGGUAGAGCAUCAGCAACCGGUACCAAUGAUGGCGCAGCAGUACUAGUUGACGGUUGCUGUCCAUGUUGCUGGCCUAACGGACGGAAUGGUGCAGCAACACCAGGUAAUGUUGACCGAUGAUGAUUACCAUCACCGGCACUCGAGACCAGCGCUGACACUGCAUCCGUUACCUUCACCUGUUCAACAACACGAACUGGCAUUCUUUGUUGACUGAGCCGUGCGCGCUGACCGGCCACUGAAACCACCGAAGGCACUGCACUUGUUGUCGUGAGUUGUCCAACAACACGGACCGGCAAGCCGGGAGGACGAAUGGCACUAGGAACGGCAACCGAAAUCACCGUCGGCACUGCACUUGUCGUCGGAAGUUGUCCAACAACACGGACCGGCAAGCCGGGAGGACGGAUGGCACGAGGAAUGGCAACCGAAACCACCGAUGGCACUGCACUUGUCGUCGGAAGUUGUCCAACAACACGGACCGGCAAGCCGGGAGGACGAAUGGCACGAGGAACGGCAACCGGAACCACCGAUGGCACUGCACUUGUCGUCGGAAGUUGUCCAACAACACGGACUGGCACAUCUGAAUGACGAAACGACUGCACACCCGCAAUGGCCGAAGGCAUCACUUGUAGAGGAAGUGGUACUUGAGACUCUUCCACAACUUCUUCCUCCAAACGAAGACACGUUAGUUUAUCUUGCGUCGACAUGGUGUAACUUUUGCAAAAUGUACGAAAUUGCACUAAUAUUUUCAAAUUUACACAAAAGACACUUUUAGACACUUUUUCACGAGGCACUGACACGAUGUAUUAACUUUGGAGUCUGAAGUUGAACUAAAAUUGUUUAGCAAAGUGUUAGCCCUUUUAUACUGCAUUUCGAGCAGACUUAUGAAUGAGUGGGAGGAGUUAAAGGACUUGUGGAAGAAGGAAUAGGAUAUGGUGUAAUGUCGAAUAUUGUGCCUGUUGCUUGUGCUACCGAAUGUCGCCAAGCUCACGUACCCGCGUUUUAUGUACCUUUUCUUGGUGUUUUCGAGUUACUCGCCACCAACAUGCAUAUCGGCUGGAACUUGGACCCAUGCUAAAUUGAAGCAAAGUUAAAGUAAGUCUGACCUAAGUCAGUCCGAGUAAGUCAGUAGCUAAAGUAAUAUAAAGACAGUAUGAUAAACUGGCGUCGUGUAUCAGAUCGCAACUGCUAAUAAUUUCGUCGUCUGAGGCGGACUGUUAUGGAGGUACCAAAUCUUCAGUGAUGAUGAAUGCGUUCACGAAUCUACGAGCCGGUGAUUGGCGGUAUCCAGAUCAUCGUCGUACUGUUAGCUUACCUAAGCUACCAAAAUUAGUGACAGUGUAAAAUUUGUGCUGUGAAGAUUACAGCUGGCUCUCACAACCGUCCGGAAGUCGCAGUAAUUUGGUAACAUAAAGAUCAUCACCACCGCACGAAGCGCAGCAUAUUGAAGCAAGCCCAAGCGGACAGCAACCACCUGCAGCAAACGUACGCCGAACGAAUGGACGUGGUAGACGCGUUAUGAUUCCAAGGCGAUAUUUGCGCUCUGAAAAUGCUAGCACAGAUGUUUGAGCCACAGAGGUGACGUUCCGAGAGUGUAAAAACUUGCCGGGCCCACAGUUUCAGAUAAGCCGUUCUCCUCAAUGCCAUAUCAUGUACGGUCGGUUAGUUACACUUCAUAACGAAGGACAAUCACAUCUGGUUAACGGAAUGCUGCCAAAACGAUGAAGCUGGCUUAGCCCUCGAUGACGACGCAACUCCUGCACGUUCGUCGUCAUACUAUCAUUUCAACUGGAGGCAUGUUUGUUUUAGGCGGCUACAACAUGUUGUUUGAACAUGUUGAAUAGAACAAACAUGUUGAUAAUGGUGAAUGCUGGAACUCCGUGAUACCCGUUUUCGUGCGCUGAAUAAGGUUUGUAUGAAAAAUAGUGUAUUUUUAGAAUAUUUUAUUUUUCAAUAAAGUAACGGUAAAUUUGAAA